UGAGGAAUAUUGGACAAUGGGCGCAAGCCUGAUCCAGCCAUGCCGCGUGUGUGAAGAAGGUCUUCGGAUUGUAAAGCACUUUAAGUUGGGAGGAAGGGCAGUAACCUAAUACGUUGCUGUCUUGACGUUACCGACAGAAUAAGCACCGGCUAACUCUGUGCCAGCAGCCGCGGUAAUACAGAGGGUGCAAGCGUUAAUCGGAAUUACUGGGCGUAAAGCGCGCGUAGGUGGUUUGUUAAGUUGGAUGUGAAAUCCCCGGGCUCAACCUGGGAACUGCAUUCAAAACUGACAAGCUAGAGUAUGGUAGAGGGUGGUGGAAUUUCCUGUGUAGCGGUGAAAUGCGUAGAUAUAGGAAGGAACACCAGUGGCGAAGGCGACCACCUGGACUGAUACUGACACUGAGGUGCGAAAGCGUGGGGAGCAAACAGGAUUAGAUACCCCCGUAGUCCCUGAGCGGGCUGGCAAGGCGCAU
rnacentral:rRNA from 1 species